GGCGAGUGAAGCGGUAACAGCUCAAAUUUGAAAGCUAGCUCUUUGAGGGUUCGCAUUGUAAUUUGUAGAAGAUGCUUCGGGUGUGGCCCCGGUCUAAGUUCCUUGGAACAGGACGUCAUAGAGGGUGAGAAUCCCGUAUGUGACUGGGUGCUUUCGCUCAUGUGAAGCUCUUUCGACGAGUCGAGUUGUUUGGGAAUGCAGCUCUAAAUGGGUGGUACAUUUCAUCUAAAGCUAAAUAUUGGCCAGAGACCGAUAGCGCACAAGUAGAGUGAUCGAAAGAUGAAAAGCACUUUGGAAAGAGAGUUAAACAGUACGUGAAAUUGUUGAAAGGGAAGCGCUUGCAACCAGACUUGCGCGCUGAUGAUCAUCCGGGCUUCUGCCCGGUGCACUCGUCUGCGCUCAGGCCAGCAUCGGUUUCGGUGGUGGGAUAAAGGCCUUGGGAAUGUAGCUCCUCUCGGGGAGUGUUAUAGCCCUCGGUGCAAUGCCGCCUACCGGGACCGAGGACCGCGCUUCGGCUAGGAUGCUGGCGUAAUGGUUGUAAGCGACCCGUCUUGAAACACGGACCAAGGAGUCUAACAUCUAUGCGAGUGUUUGGGUGUCAAACCCAUACGCGUAAUGAAAGUGAACGGAGGUGAGAACCCUUAAGGGUGCAUCAUCGACCGGUCCUGAUGUCUUCGGAUGGAUCUGAGUAAGAGCAUAGCUGUUGGGACCCGAAAGAUGGUGAACUAUGCGUGAAUAGGGUGAAGCCAGAGGAAACUCUGGUGGAGGCUCGCAGCGGUUCUGACGUGCAAAUCGAUCGUCAAAUUUGCGUAUAGGGGCGAAAGACUAAUCGAACCAUUGUCGGCAGGCACAAAAAAUUCUUGUAAAAGUAGGCUAAAAAGCAACGCUAUUUGCUAUGCUUGCUGGCCGGAUCUUGCGAGGUCUAAAAAACAAGAAAUGAUUUUUGCUGCUAGGUGGUUAAGAGGUAUAUUAAAAGUAUACUUAGUCCGUAGAGGGCAACACUAUCAAAUUGCGGGGACGUCCUGUUUUAAAUACUGAACUACCGCAGCUGCCUCGAAAGAGGUAGUGCGCACCAGGUUAAUGACCUUGGGGAUGGUAAAAACGUUUAGAUAGGGAUAAUCCGCAGCCAAGUCCUAUAGGGUCUUAAGACCUACGGAUGCAGUUCACAGACUAAAUGAUAGUGGGUUAGAUACUCUAGCUUAAGAUAUAGUCGAAUCCCUCGAGAGAUCAAGGGCGGAGUUAAUACUUCCGUUUCUAUUGACUUUUCGUUACUGUAGGCUUGUGGGUGU
rnacentral:rRNA from 1 species